rnacentral:rRNA from 1 species
AUUCCAGCUCCAAUAGCAUAUAUUAAAGUUGUUGCAGUUAAAAAGCUCGUAGUUGGAUUUCUGGCAUGAUGCGCCUUGCCCGCCUCGAUUACGAGUGUGUGUGCGAGCGGGCGUCUGCCAUCCAUUUACAGAAUGUGCCUACCUUUGAUUAGGCCGGGUACGUGAUGUAAAUCUUUUACUUUGAAAAAAUUAGAGUGUUUAAAGCAGGCAUUUGCUAUGAAUACAUUAGCAUGGAAUAAUAAUCUAGGACUUCGGUUCUAUUUUGUUGGUUUCUAGAUCUGGAGUAAUGAUUGAUAGGGAUAGUUGGGGGUGCUAGUAUUAAGGGGCCAGAGGUGAAAUUCUUGGAUUCUCUUAAGACUAACUUAUGCGAAAGCAUUCACCAAGGAUGUCUUCAUUA